AUUGAACGCUGGCGGCAGGCCUAACAAAUGCAAGUCGAACGAGUGGCGGACGGGUGAGUAAUGUCUGGGAAACUGCCCGAUGGAGGGGGAUAAAUACUGGAAACGGUAGCUAAUACCGCAUACCAUCGGAUGUGCCCAGAUGGGAUUAGCUUGUAGGUGAGGUAACGGCUCACCUAGGCGACGAUCCCUAGCUGGUCUGAGAGGAUGACCAGGUACACUGGAAGUGAGAGACGGUCCAGACUCCUACGGGAGUCAGCAGUGGGGAAUAUGGCACAAUGGGCGAAAGCCUGAUGCAGCCAUGCCGCGGGGAGGAAGAAGGCCUUCGGGUUGUAAAGUACUUUCAGCGGGGAGGCGUUACCCGCAGAAGAAUCACCGGCUAACUCCGUGCCAGCAGCCGCUGUAAUAC
rnacentral:rRNA from 1 species